CCUACGGGGUGCAGCAGUAGGGAAUUUUCGUCAAUGGGCGCAAGCCUGAACGAGCAAUGCCGCGUGAACGAGGAAGGUCUUCGGAUCGUAAAGUUCUGUUGAAGGGGACAAAGAGCGGGGAGAGGAAAUGCUUUCUGAUUGAUAUUACCCUUCGAGGAAGUCACGGCAAACUACGUGCCAGCAGCAGCGGUAAUACGGAGGUGGGGAGAGUUAUCCGGAAUGAGUGGGCGUAAAGGGUGAGUAGGCGGCCUGCUAAGUCUGGAGUGAAAGGUACCGGCUCAACCGGUACAGGCUCUGGAAACUGGCGGGCUAGAGAGCAGGAGAGGGCGGUGGAACUCCAUGUGUAGCGGUAAAAUGCGUAGAGAUAUGGAAGAACACCAGUGGCGAAGGCGGCCGCCUGGCCUGUUAACUGACGCUGAGGCACGAAAGCGUGGGGAGCAAAUAGGAUUAGAUACCCGUGUAGUC
rnacentral:rRNA from 1 species